rnacentral:misc_RNA from 1 species
AAUAAAGAUGAACGUUCUAAUUUAGAUAGUCAGAAUUUAAAUGGUGCUUAUAUAGAAGAUAUUUUUAGAUUUACAAUGUUAAAAAUCCAUAUUUUUCUUAAAUCCCCCCUGCUUAUUGCAUUAGUACUGCGAUUAACUCUGCUAGUUAGCAAUAAUAACUGCAUUUAUACAUAUUUAAAAUAAAAACAAAACACUUAUAAAUCAAUAGUUUUAUACAUAUAAAAAGCCAUAAAUAUAAUUAGAACUUUUGAUACAUAUCAAAUUUUGACCU